UAUGCAUGUUUAGUUACACCACUGUGUCCAUGACUGUUUAGUUACACCACUGUGUCCAUGACUGUUUAGUUACACCACUGUGAAUAUGCAUGUUAAGUUUCACCACUGAGACUAUGUAUGUAUAGUUACACCACUGGGAUCCUACAUGUAUAGUUUUAACACCACAGUGGCACUAUAUAUAUGACCCUGCGUAUAUGUUUACA
rnacentral:lncRNA from 1 species